rnacentral:lncRNA from 1 species
CAGGUGACCAGCUAGACAAAGUCCACCAUAAAGUCCAUGGUCACUUUUUCUUUGUAACUAACUGGUAAGUGCUUCCUGGGGAGGGACUCUGAAACUUUUUUUUCUUUCUUUCUGUUGUGUGUGUGUGUUUGUUUUUCUUUUUUAAGAGACAGGGUCUUACUCUGACACCCAGACUGGAGUGCAGUGGCGUGAUCAUGGCUCACUGCAGCCUUGGACUCCCGGGCUCAAACCAUCCUCCUGCCUCAGCUUCCCAAGUAGCUGAGACUACAGGCUGUGAGCUGAUUUGUACCUGGGAAAGCCAAAGUGUUCACAUAGACUAAGUCAGAAUAAGCUCCUCCAACUCGACUUGAUCCUGGGUGCAGAAAAUGCUGGAAGCCUGACACAAUCACAGCCCAAAGGGAGCAAAUGAAAAGAAAUCCUCUGAAUGAAAUUUGGGGUCUCACUUCGGGCAGCACCCACCCUCUGCAAAAGGGAGAUGUUUCCACAGCUGCUGAUCCUGGAUCCAGAGGCAGCACUCCCUCCACGAGGGACACUCGGGCAUUGUAAACUCAAGCAUCCCUUUGUUUUCCAUUCUUCACUCAGACAUUCCUGAUGACUAACUAGGGAUCAAUAUAAAUCACGUCAUUGUGAUCUCGGGUCUUUUCCUGCUAAAGAAAAGUAGAGAGUAUAAGGAAAUGACGGUGGUUUGAAAACAGAAAGCAAAAGUACUCCCUACAAAAGUUAUCUGGAGCUAUUAGGAAAACAAGGAAGAGGCUCCUGGUGAUUUGGAAGCCGGGCCAAGGUCUAGGAUGCAAUUGAUGUCAAUAGGUCCUUUGCAGGUAGAGGGACAGGUGAGGUCAUAGUCUGACGUCUGUUCUUACAGGGCUCCUCCCUGGAAAUGACUCGCUCUCUCUGUACUCAUUUCCUCUCAAGGCUUUGUUCCAGCAAGGGUUUCUUUUGAAAUAGGAGAAUCCCAGGUGGCACAGGAUGGGAUGGGGUCUCAGUGGGAGCAGUUGCUGCAAUUGCGAAAGAGGAGGAGGAGGAGGAGGAGGGGAAAGAGGCAAUACUUCCAGCCUCCAGGGAAAAUCUCUGUGCUUGCUGCCUUAUCACAGUGACUGGAAAUCCACCCUCAGAUGCACACACAAAGCUGUCAUUAACAGAAGCUUCACGUGCACCCCGGAAAGCAAAAUUGGGCACUCGGCUUCAAAGGAAACGGCUUCUUCCUUCACAAUACUUCAUCACUAAAUGGUUGUCUGGCAUGUUUGUUUUUUCAAAUGUCCACAUUUUAUUUGUCCAACUGAUUGUCUCUUUAUCAGCAGCAGCCAGGACCACAGCUGAACUGUUUGUGAGUUGGUAGUUUAUAAAAUCAAUGCUAAGUCUUUGCUAGUGUUUCUCUAACACGCUCAUUUGUAUUUAUUCGUCUCAGAAGUCAAAGAAAAAAACACAACAUACAAAAGGCAGAGUGGUGCUUUUCUAUGUCAAUAUGUGUUUGAGGACUUUUCUAGCUAAUUGACAUAAACUCGACAGCUAGACCAGAUGACAAGCAAGAAUAUCCAUCCCAUAAUGAGGCUUCCGGCACUGGCUUAAUCAAGUAAAUCCAGAAAACAAGGCUCAAAAUUACUUGAGAAAGGUUUUAAUUGUUUUUGCAUCUUUUCUCUUUUUUCUUUCUCUUAUUUUAGAAAAAUUAUUCUUAGAGGUAGAGUCUCAA